rnacentral:rRNA from 1 species
UACGUAGGGUGCGAGCGUUGUCCGGAAUUAUUGGGCGUAAAGGGCUCGUAGGCGGUUUGUCGCGUCGGGAGUGAAAUCCACUGGCUUAACUGGUGGCUUGCUUUCGAUACGGGCAGACUGGAGGUAUGCAGGGGAGAACGGAAUUCCUGGUGUAGCGGUGAAAUGCGCAGAUAUCAGGAGGAACACCGGUGGCGAAGGCGGUUCUCUGGCAUGUCCUGACGCUGAGGAGCGAAGCCAGGGAGCGAACGGG